rnacentral:lncRNA from 1 species
GAAAUUGAUCGACCUCUUCUGGUUCCUAUUGGCACGUAAGUAUUGGCUAGUUGCUUUACUUGUUGGGGCAAUAUUCAUAUGCUAACUUUCUAUAAUCUCCAUUCAUAAUAGUCAAUAGGAAAAGCACCAGUACACUGCUCGUGAUCCGUCAACAGUGAAGGUGCAUUACUACGCAAGUGUUAUCCAGAGCCAAUGGUCCUGAUGAUGAUAAGAAACCGGUGUCCUCUUGGGAUGACUACAAGUGUCCCCCUCAUGCAGGAGCAAGAGCAGCAGCAUCCGUGGUUGUUGAAUUUUUUUG